rnacentral:sRNA from 1 species
GGUCAGGCUGUCCUCCCAAGCUCCUAGAACCCAGACUCCCUACACCUAGCUGAGGCCUUGGUCUGCCAGCUCCCCCUCAUCUUCUUCCCACCCUGAGGGAUCAUCAAGUUCUCCGUCCCCGCAAGGUGAGGCCUCACUUCCUGCCCUUUUCACUCCUCUAGACGGAUCAACGUGGGCUCCCGGUUCCAGGCAGAAAUCCCCUUGAUGAGGGACCGUGCCCUGGCAGCUGCAGAUCCCCACAAGGCUGACUUGGUGUGGCAGCCAUGGGAGGACCUAGAGAGCAGCCGGGAGAAGCAGAGGCAAGUGGAAGACCUGCUGACAGCUGCCUGCUCCAGCAUUUUCCCUGGUGCUGGCACCAACCAGGAGCUGGCCCUGCACUGUCUGCACGAGUCCAGGGGAGACAUCCUGGAAACGCUGAAUAAGCUGCUACUGAAGAAGCCCCUGCGGCCCCACAACCAUCCGCUGGCAACUUAUCACUACACAGGCUCUGACCAGUGGAAGAUGGCCGAGAGGAAGCUGUUCAACAAAGGCAUUGCCAUCUACAAGAAGGAUUUCUUCCUGGUGCAGAAGCUGAUCCAGACCAAGACCGUGGCCCAGUGCGUGGAGUUCUACUACACCUACAAGAAGCAGGUGAAAAUCGGCCGCAAUGGGACUCUAACCUUUGGGGAUGUGGAUACAAGUGAUGAGAAGUCGGCCCAGGAAGACGUUGAAGUGGAUAUUAAGACUUCCCAAAAGUUCCCAAGGGUGCCUCUUCCCAGAAGAGAGUCCCCAAGUGAAGAGAGGCUGGAGCCCAAGAGGGAGGUGAAGGAGUCCAGGAAGGAAGGGGAGGAGGAGGUGCCAGAGAUCCAGGAGAAGGAGGAGCAGGAAGAGGGGCGAGAGCGCAGCAGGCGGGCAGCGGCAGUCAAAGCCACGCAGACACUACAGGCCAAUGAGUCGGCCAGUGACAUCCUCAUCCUCCGGAGCCACGAGUCCAACGCCCCUGGGUCUGCCGGUGGCCAGGCCUCGGAGAAGCCAAGGGAAGGGACAGGAAAGUCACGAAGGGCACUACCUUUUUCAGAGAAGAAGAAAAAAACAGAGACAUUCAGUAAGACCCAGAAUCAGGAGAACACUUUCCCCUGUAAAAAAUGUGGCAGGUAAGGUGGGCAGCCCUGUCCCCGCUGGGACCCCGCGGGCGGGUGCGCGGCGGGGGCGGGGGCGAGGGUGGGGGGGAGGGGGAAGAGGUACAGGCGGUGUCCGCCUCGUUUCUGGUUGGCUCAGCGGGUUUCUAGGGCUGUGACGUCAUGGGACAGCUUUCGGAAAAUGACGCGAGCUGGCCAGCCCCGGCUGUGCAGCGUGGGGGAGAAGGUGAAGGCUGGGGCUCCUCGCGCACCCGCGCUGGGGUCCCCGGGGUGGGCUAGGCCGGUCCUGAGCAACCCCCACCCGGCCGCAGGGUGUUUUACAAGGUGAAGAGCCGCAGUGCGCACAUGAAGAGCCACGCAGAGCAGGAGAAGAAGGCUGCAGCGCUGAGGCUGAAGGAGAAGGAGGCUGCUGCCGCCGCCGCUGCCGCCCACCAGCAGGCCCUGCGGGAGGAGAGCGGUGUGGGUGCGGGCGACAAGGGCUGAGCGCGGGAGCCAGGCUGGCCCAGUCCUGAGCCCCGGCCCUUCCCGCACCGCCGCCAGCGCCCGCAGACCCUGGCAUCUCAAGAGGGAGUGAGGAGAGGAUUGCAGGGAUUUUUCCUUGCGAAACAAAUGAGACAAUGAAAUAAAUGGCUCUUAUUUAUGAAGGCCCUGGGAGCAGCGUUAAGGGCUCCAGGAUCCAGCUCUUUUUGCAUUUGGUCUGUCGGAAGCUGUCCUCGUGCUUUCCUGGACCGGGAGAGUCCCGGUCCCCUCGGGAGGGGCUCCACCGCCUCUCACACUCCGAUUUCUGCUGCUCUGCUGCCCCGCAGUCUCUUCCCUUUAUUUGCUUCCCCCUCCUCCCCUCGGCCUCCAGGAAGCCACCGUGGCCGGCCAAGCACAAGCUCACCCACUUUGGAGCAGCAUUCCCCCUCCCCAGAGGACCUCGAAGGCUGCAACGGCCCGGCCCCAAGCCCCAAGCCCCAGAAAAAGGAACUCUCGGAGGGAGUCUGCGGGCUUCUCUGAGAAGGGGCGUAGCCUGACACCUGUGCUGUCCCUGCAGUCUCCAGGCCUGCCUGAGCUGCUCCCGUGACCGUGUCCUGAGUGGCCACCUCCUCCUUGGGAGGGAGGCUGCGACAGGUACUCUCCCUUUGCUGCUUGCUGGCGGCGCUGCUAGGGCUAGAAAGUUUUCUCAGCGUUGGGGGAGGGGCUAGUGUUCUUGUCCAAAGCACUCAUCCUGCUGCAGGGAAGGGGGCUGUACGGAGGCUGGAAGCUGCAGGGUUAGGCCCGAGAGAGCUUUUGACAAGCCUGGCUCUUCCUGCUUCCCACCUUUUUGGCCAAAUACCUUUGGGUCCUGGAGGCUGCCAAGGGCGCUCCGCCUUGAGCAGGUCCCGGAGAGGCUCAGCCUGCCCCUCCUGGCGGCCAGCCUCCUUGCCUCUGCCCUGACCUCAGCAGCUACACCUAACCCCACCGCACCCCACCCAGUGUCGAUAUCCACAACCCAGCCCCCAGGCCUGCACGUUGGAGAUUUCUGGAUCCUUCCCUGGGAGGGAGAGGUCUCCUAACUCGAUUGGACAGGAUCCUUUAUUCCUUGACUCGUGUCAUUUGGGAGCUAUUUAUUUAUUCUUAGUAUUUAAUUUUUAACAUCCUCUCAGGGACCAGGGGCCUCCUGCUUUUCAGAGGCCCAAGUGCAUUUAUCCCAAAACGAGGCGUCUUGACAUCCCCUAUCCCCACCCUCUGAAUUCCCAAGGCCCUAAGGUCCCUCACCUGGUUGCUCUGGAAGCUCUUGCCGAUAGGAAUGAUAGCAACACUGAAAGAGGGUGGGAAGGUGGAGGGUGUCACCAGACCCACACAGAGCAAGGGAGAUCAAAGGCCGUUCUUGCUGCCCCUUCUCUGGCUGUGCUUUGCCUGAGGGAAUUGGCAAGAGGCCAGAAUUCUAGUUUGGUUUAUGGGGCCUGGAUUCUGGCUUGAAGAGGCCAUAUUCGGCAUGGGUGAAGUGAAAGGGCCAGGAGGUUCUGGAGGCUCCUUCACUUCCAGUCCCAUAGCGGGGCUCAGCUAUUUUUCUGAUCUUAUUCAACUUUAGUUGUGCAAAAGAAAUUCUAAGUGAAUGCGCGUAUGACAGGUCAACGUAUUAGGAAGGAGCCAGAAAGUAUUCAUACUGCUACUCCUUAUGAGAUAGCCAAGAAGCAUCAUGUCAGUAACUGGGAGUGGAGAGGGAGUUUUGUUUUGAAACUAUGCACUGUCAGGUAUUUUUCAGCAUCCAUUUAUACAUUAGUAUGGUUCUACAGGACCCCGGCUGUGGAAGUAACAAAUUUCUUCUCCCUCCAGACUCUUGGAUGACUACCUAGAUCCCCAGCUUACUGGUUAGUUUCCUCCACAGGCUUCCAUGAGCUCAGUGUCCCAAGACAGCAAAAAUCUGGUAUACCCUGUAGAAGCAGGGGGGUAGCAAAUUUAGGCUCUCUUCGAAAUUACUUGUAUAAUACGAGUGCCUUCGCAGCUUAGCCCCAAAGUGCUACUUACGUUUCCCAAGGUUUUUUCUAUUCAAACCAUAUUUGGUUUCAGGCCCCUUUAUGGACAUACGGUAACAGAAACCUCCGUCAUUCACAUGAGACCCUUUUGUCAGUGGUAACAUCUUGUACUUGGAAAAAAAAUUUUUUUUUUUUUUUUUUUUUUUUGAGACAGAGUCUCAUUCUGUCGCCCAGGCUGGAGUGCAGUGGUGUGAUCUUGGCUCACUGCAACCUCCGCCUCUUGGGUUAAAAGGAUUCUCCUGCCUCAGCCUCCCGAGUAGCUGGGAUUAUAGACACAACCACCACACCCAGCUGAUCUUUUUGUAUUUUUUUUUUUUUAGUAGAGACGGAGUUUCGCCAUGUUGGCCAGGCUGGUCUUGAACUCCUGACCUCAGGUGGUCCACCCGCCUCAGCCCCCCAAAGUGCUGGCAUUACAGGCGUGAACCACCUCGCCUGACCAGAAGUUUUUAAACAAUAAAGUGAUUCUACUCUUCUAAGCUUACAGAGACCAGACCAGGUGAAUGUAACUGGGGAAAAUCAAGAUGGUACCUCUCUGCAUUAUCCCGCCAGACACCGUAUUUUAUGCAUUCAUGUCUAGGAUACAGUGUGAAAAUUAAAAAGUUUAGAGGGCAGAUGCAAUCGUGGCAAGUGACCUGCCAAUAAAGCAGGUGCAGCUAUAGAAGCUGGCAUAGGUAUAUCCUUAAUGGUGCUUUCUCCCUGGGCUUGUCUUUUUGUUAUUUUUUUCCCCUAUAUUCAGAGCUCCUUGAGAAGUGAUAAACGCCUCCAGCUUUCUAACAUCCUCCCCACACCAUCUCACUAUAUCCAUCUCCCAGCAUCCAUCUGCAUUCAGCUAAGGGCGGGAAACUGACCUAGUGCCUGUGUUGCAGACCAUUUCUGAGGUCUCCACCCAUCCAAGGAGGCACAGCUGUCAUUACUGUCCUCCAUGCCUUCAGCAGCCCCCCUCACAGCUAAGGUACAUACCACCCCUUCUGCCGCGUCUCCACCCCUGGCACCAAGGUCUUUUGCUGCUUAUGUCUAAAGGGAUCACCUAUAUUUAACUGCCUCAGUGACCUAACCUUUCUUCUCAUGUGCCAGAUGUUAAGAUGAAGGAGGAAUACAACACAUACUCAAGCCUCAGCUGUUUAGUUGUUUUCACUGGGGCUCGCUUUUCUGGGACGGUAUUUAUUAUCAGACUGGCAAGCCUAACUCCAUAGGGUUACAGGAAGUAGGGAUAUUUUUGUAAAACAAUUGUGUCCUCCCCACAUUUUGCUAUGUUAAUAUUUGCCUCUAACAAUUUGCAGCUGUUUCACUUUUUCCUCAUUUGUCUCUAAGUUGAAGGCCUUGUUGGAGGGGACAGAGCACAGGAACAGCCUUGACAGUCUGUAAUUAUUGUACAAAUAUUUUAAUAGCAUAUAAAUAAGUAUAUUCCUUUUAUUUUGAAACAAAAAUGAUCAGACACUGCCUUUUGUGUGUUUGCUGCCUGUGGCACCCUUUUUUAAAAAGACUGUUACAUAUUAAAAUAGUGUACAUAUAUAUAAAUAUUACCUCUUUUGCUGUACAGUUGUGAUAGAGACUGAAGAUUUUAUUUUUUGUGUGCUUUUUAUAAGAAAAAAAUUAAUACACUAAAGAAUCUUGCUGAUGUGAUUGUAAUGUACCUAUGUAACUUAUUUACUUUUGAAUGUUCUUCUGUAUCUUUAAACCUUUUAUUAAAUAAGGUUUUAAAAAUU